rnacentral:rRNA from 1 species
CAUGUCGAGCGAGGUUAGCAAUAACCUAGCGGCGAAUGGGUGAGUAACACGUGCUUAAUCUACCUUUUAGAUUGGAAUACCCAUUGGAAACAAUGGCUAAUGCCGGAUACGCAUGGAACCGCAUGGUUCCGUUGUGAAAGGCGCUGUAAGGCGCCACUAAAAGAUGAGGGUGCGGAACAUUAGUUAGUUGGUGAGGUAAUGGCCCACCAAGACUAUGAUGUUUAGCCGGGUCGAGAGACUGAACGGCCACAUUGGGACUGAGAUACGGCCCAAACUCCUACGGGAGGCAGCAGUAGGGAAUAUUCCACAAUGAGCGAAAGCUUGAUGGAGCGACACAGCGUGCACGAUGAAGGUCUUCGGAUUGUAAAGUGCUGUUAUAAGGGAAGAACAUUUGCAAUAGGAAAUGAUUGCAGACUGACGGUACCUUGUCAGAAAGCGAUGGCUAACUAUGUGCCAGCAGCCGCGGUAAUACGUAGGUCGCAAGCGUUAUCCGGAAUUAUUGGGCGUAAAGCGUUCGUAGGCUGUUUGUUAAGUCUGGAGUUAAAUCCCGGGGCUCAACCCCGGCUCGCUUUGGAUACUAGCAAACUAGAGUUAGAUAGAGGUAAGCGGAAUUCCAUGUGAAGCGGUGAAAUGCGUAGAUAUAUGGAAGAACACCAAAGGCGAAGGCAGCUUACUGGGUCUAUACUGACGCUGAGGGACGAAAGCGU